rnacentral:lncRNA from 15 species
AUGCAACCGAUGAGCCAGGANNNNNNNNNNNNNNNNNNNNNNNNNNNNNNNNNNNNNNNNNNNNNNNNNNNNNNNNNNNNNNNNNNNNNNNNNNNNNNNNNNNNNNNNNNNNNNNNNNNNGUCUUUAUUUACCUCACCCACAGAGGGUACGGGUCUUUAUUUACCUCACCCACAGAGGGUACGGGUCUUUAUUUACCUCACCCACAGAGGGUCUUUAUUUACCUCACCCACAGAGGGUACGGGUCUUUAUUUACCUCACCCACAGAGGGUACGGGUCUUUAUUUACCUCACCCACAGAGGGUACGGGUCUUAUUUACCUCACCCACAGAGGGUACGGGUCUUUAUUUACCUCACCCACAGAGGGUACGGGUCUUAUUUACCUCACCCACAGAGGGUACGGGUCUUUAUUUACCUCACCCACAGAGGGUACAGGUCUUAUUUACCUCACCCACAGAGGGUACGGGUCUUUAUUUACAUCACCCACAGAGGGUACGGGUCUUUAUUUACCUCACCCACAGAGGGUACAGGUCUUAUUUACCUCACCCACAGAGGGUACGGGUCUUUAUUUACCUCACCCACAGAGGAUACGGGUCUUUAUUUACCUCACCCACAGAGGGUACAGGUCUUAUUUACCUCACCCACAGAGGGUACGGGUCUUUAUUUACCUCACCCACAGAGGGUAUGGGUCUUUAAUUACCUCACCCACAGAGGGUACUGGUCUUAUUUACCUCACCCACAGAGGGUACAGGUCUUAUUCAACUCACCCACCAGUAUUAAUGGUAUUAUAUAAUAGAUUAUAUACUUUAUGGAUUAUAUAUUGUAUUAUUGUUGUCAGUGAAACACUGUGUAUGUCUGUUUAAAAUAAAUAAAUAAAAGGAAAUAUGGUUUAUUAGUAAUGCAUUUAUAUCAUUAAUAGACUCAAUUGGCUUCUGUCAGAGUGUAAAUAAACCAACUCAUUGUUUUAAUCACACUCUUGACCUUGUUCUAUCAUAUGGCAUUGAUAUUGAACAUUUAAUAGUCUUCCCACAUAAUCCUUUCCUAUCUGACCAUUAUUUAAUAACUUUUGAAUUCAUACUAUUAGAUUAUAAGCCAUUAGGCAAAACUUCCUACAGCAGAUGUCUAUCUGACAGUGCUGUAGCUAAAUUUAAGGAGGAGAUUCCUUCAGUGUUUAAUUCAAUGCCAUGUCUGAAUUUAACAGAGUCCUAUAACGACUUUAGUCCCUCUGAAAUUGAUAAUCUUGUCGAUAGUGCUACAGGCUCACUACGAUCAACAUUAGACUCUAUCGCUCCUAUAAAAAGGAAAUUAUUAAAACAUAGGAGACUAGCACCUUGGUAUAACCACCAAACCCGCCAGUUAAAACAAAUAGCUAGGAAAUCUGAAAGGAAAUGGCGCUCUUCCAAAUUAUCAGAAUAUCGCUCAAUUUGGCAAGAUAAUCUUAAAACUUAUAGAAAGGCCCUCCGUAAUGCCAGAGGAGCCUAUUACUCAGCACUAAUAGAAGAAAAUAAGAAUAACCCUAGGUUCCUCUUCAGCACUGUAGCCAGGCUGACAGAGAGUCACAGCUCUAUUGAGCCACAUAUCCCCAUAAACUUAAGUAGCAACGACUUCAUGAGCUUCUUCUAUAAUAAAAUUAUUACUAUUAGAGAAAAAAUUAAUCACCAACUGCCAUCAACAGUUAUCAGUGGCUCUCCAAGUUAAGGGACUUCUGCCAAUGUAAACUUAGAUAUAUAUUUAGACUGUUUUCUGCUAUCGAUCUUCAUCAGUUAACUUCAUCAUUUCUUCAUCGAAGCCAUCAACCUGUCUAUUAGACCCGAUCCCAACUAGGCUGCUUAAAGAAGUUAUUUCCUUAAUUGGCACUUCUUUACUGGAUAUGAUUAAUCUUUCUUUAUUAUCAGGAUAUGUACCACAGUCCUUUAAAGUAGCUGUAAUUAAACCCCUUCUUAAAAAGCCCACUCUUCAUGGUCAGGCCCCUUCAUAUCUUAAAGAGCUCAUAGUACCCUAUUACCCCACUAGAACACUACGUUCUCUGAAUGCUGGGCUACUUGUGGUUCCUAUAGUCUCUAAAAGUAGAACAGGAGCCAGAGCCUUCAGUUACCAAGCUCCUCUCCUGUGGAACCAGCUUCCAGUUGUGGUUCUGGAGGCAGACACCCUCACCACAUUCAAGAGUAGGCUUAAGACAUUCCUCUUUGAUAAAGCUUAUAGUUAGGGCUGGAUCAGGUGAGUCCUGAACCAUCCCUUAGUUAUGCUGCUAUAGGCCUAGACUAUCGGGGGAUUUCCCAUGGUGCACUGAGCUCCUCUCUUCCUCUCUCUUUCUGCACUCAUUCAUGUUCCAUUAAUGCAUGUUACUAACUCCACUUCUUCCCCGGAGUUCUUGUGCUUUCUCGUCUCGCAGGUUCUCAUGGAUCCUGGUGGAGCCUCCUGCCAUGGUCCUGCUUGACUGCCAUUGCCAAUAGUGUUGUUGCUGUGCACCUGUAUGUCUGUCUGUCUGUCUCUCGCUCUCUCUCUCUCUCGCUCUCUCUCUCUCUGCCUCUCUCUCUUUCUCUCUCUCUCUCUCUCUCACCCCAACUGGUCGAGACAGACGACCACCCACCUAGAGUCGAAGGAUCUGUCCUAGGUUUCUGCCUUUUAACAGGCAGUUUUUCCUUGCCCUUGUCGCCAAGUGCUUGCUCAUGGUGGUACUGUUGGGUCUCUGUAAAUAAUGUUUUAAAGAGUUGGCUCUAGACCUGCUCUAUUUGAAAAGUGUCAUGAGAUAACUUCUGUUAUGAAUUGGCGCUAUACAAAUAAAAUUGAGUUGAAUUGAAUAUGUAAUCAAUAUACAGUCAAUACAUACAAUCAAUAAUCAGAUUGUUUUCAUUCAUCACUAAAUAAAGUUCACACAUGAGGUUUUAAAGUGUUAACAUUUAUUUUGAAGGUCUCCAGACUUCCUGUAACAGUGUUUAUAAAUCUGUUUGUUUCAGAGAAGAAGAGGUUCAGUCGAGGAGAGCGAGACUUCAUGACGAGGAUGACUCGUCCUCUACAGCUCACCUGUCUGCACAUCAACACCCACUGAUCUCACCUUUACACUGACAGGAAGUCAGCAACAGGAAGAGGAGGAGCCAGCUCACCUGCACUUUAGUUUUAAUGUUUAAUGUUGAUAUAAGUUAUUAAAUCUUCUUUUAUUUCACACCACACACUGUUUUCAUGGCAACAUCACAGUCCCUCAUAAACCCGAGUCAGGUAAUAUUAUAAUAAUCAUCAAAAAUAAAUAAUAAAUUACAGAAGCAGCAGGUAUUGAUUUAUUUCAAUAAAACCAUUUAUUAUUAUUAAAAUAAAUAAAUAAUAAAUUAAUUAAACUAUAUUUUAUAUUAUUAUAUCACAGAGCUGCAGUGUGAUAUAAUAACAGAAUAUUAUUUAUUUAUUGAUCUGUGGUUUAUAAUAUGUGUAAUGAUGAUGAACAACCAGCAGGGGGCGUUUCACUGCUGCUGAGCAUCAACGCUCUGCUGCCUAGCAACAGAUGACACAGUGAGCAGCUGCUUUUUAAUUGGCUGACUUAUUAAGAUUAAUAAUAAUAUUAAGACACUUUAUUUCUAUAUUUUGUUUAUUUUUUGCUUACAGUAAAUUAUUUUAAAAUAUUUGUGUUGAAUUUAUGAAACAUUAUAAAUAAAGUUAACAAACAGUUGGAUUUUAGUUUUUAAUAGUCUUUAUAUGUAUUGGUGAUAUUUUAGUGGGAUUUCAGUUGUAAAUAUAUUAUGGUCUGUAUUGUUAUUGUUGAUCUGAUAUUGAUCCAGUAGGGGGCGUCUGAGCUCCUCCUCUCUCUCUCUGCUGUCCAACAACCAGCUGCUGCUCCAGGUAACUGAUGAGUCAUCAGCAGCUCUGUCUCUGAUUGGCUGCUGACGAACAGGAAGUGAAAGUAAAGAGUGGGGACUUUCCAGAGACGCUGCGUUCAGGCGUCUGAUGGUAAAAACAGAAAACUAAACAACAAAGUGCUGAACAGAGACGCUGCUGACUCACUCAACCACAGUUUGAUUCUGCUGCUGAUGUUAGCGCUGUUGUUUGUCCCAUCUGGUCCAGAGGGACAUUAUCCAGCAGGGCCCCUAUCGGCUCUCUUCCUCUCCUCUUGGGGCCACAGCACCCACUGUGGUGGUCUGGUCAAAGUCUACGAAGGAGCGAGCGUACCGACGACAGCAGCUGAUCCCUCAUCAGACAUC